rnacentral:rRNA from 1 species
CCUACGGGUGGCAGCAGUGGGGAAUAUUGCGCAAUGGGCGAAAGCCUGACGCAGCGACGCCGCGUGAGGGACGAAGGUCUUCGGAUCGUAAACCUCUGUCAGCAGGGAAGAAAGGUCACUGGGUUAAUCCGCAGUGAAUUGACGGUACCUGCAAAGGAAGCACCGGCUAACUCCGUGCCAGCAGCCGCGGUAAUACGGAGGGUGCGAGCGUUAAUCGGAAUUACUGGGCGUAAAGCGCUCGUAGGCGGUAUGUGAAGUCACGGGUGAAAUCCCCGGGCUCAACGUGGGAACUGCCUUUGAAACUGGCAGACUGGAGUGUGUGAGAGGAUGGUGGAAUGCCAGGUGUAGGGGUGAAAUGCGUAGAUAUC